UUAACUUCAGUUAACAUCAAAAAGGAACAAAAAAGGGGGGUUUCUGGGUAAACCCGCCCCUUUAUGCGCGUGCCGGGGAUCGAACCGGUGACCUUGACUAUGAAAUGCACGUAGCCGACCAACCGGACUACGUGACUAACCCGGUAGGAUCUAAGACUUUAAUUAUGUUAUACGUUUGUUUUUUUCGGUUCAAACUUGAAUUCAAAACAACCGCCCAAAUCAGGAAGACGCGUAAACUUUCAGUCAAACUUUCCUUUUGUCGAUGAUUGACAAAAAUUCCGGCCGCUGUGAUUUCCAUUUACCAUAUUCACCAUCGAUUUCCUAUUUCGACCAACCCGACACCCCCUAUAUAUACCAAACCGCAUCCUUCUCCGAAACCACUCACACACCCACCUCCUUCACUGCAUAUCACCGGAACCGCAAACCACCCUCGCCGGAGGACCUGAAACUCUCGCCGGAAUCUCCUGCUGCCACCGGAGACCACCGCCGGGCCGGGUAAUUCUCUUGUGCACGUUCCUUUGGAAAAUCCCUGAUUCUUUAUCUUUUCCAAGAAAUACGCAACGCGCUCUAAGGUUGAAUGAUCAAGAAAAACAAGAAUCAAGCUAGGAUGGACAUUAGAAACCCACUUAGCAUUUUGAUUAUUGUUAAAUGUUAUGUUUAUUUAUUUGGAACUAUGUAUCCCAUUUUGAGAUUUAAUGAAAUCAAUUAAUUCAUAUUGUCACAA